rnacentral:rRNA from 1 species
CGGCAAUAGCUCAAAUUUGAAAUCUGGCUUCUCUUGGAGUCCGAGUUGUAAUUUGUAGAGGAUGCUUUGGUGCGGCCUUGGUCUAAGUUCUUUGGAACAGGACAUCACAGAGGGUGAGAAUCCCGUAUGUGGCUAAAGGCUUCAACCGUCAAAAGCUCCUUC